CUCAGAGGAUGUGAUGCUGGGAAGUUUUCCACUGUUACUGAGAUAGGGUCUGCUGUCCAGAAGCUGUGAACCUGACGUUAGCCACACAGGAUUAAGUAGAGUGAUGUUUGCUCUUUUUAGGGGACCCACUGGGUUCCUUGUACGGACAAAGGCGGUUUUGCAGGACCACAUAUCAAAUAUCUACAGCAAGCCACCCAAGGACAAGAUUGGGCCUGGGCAAUCUCUCUUCACAAUGUCAGUGUUUGCGUUCGCUCUCCUGGCUCCAGCUGGAUGGAUCAUGCACCGUAUACCAGUUUACCGCCAAAGACCCCCUCCAGAACCCUGACUGGGCUGCACCACCAUGCAUAGUAUGACAUCAGUGAAACAUCAGCCAAAGACCCCCUCCAGAACCCUGACUGGGCUGCACCACCAUGCAUAGUAUGACAUCAGCGAAACAUCAGCCAAAGACCCCCUCCAGAACCCUGACUGGGCUGCACCACCAUGCAUAGUAUGACAUCAGUGAAACAUCAGCCAAAGACCCCCUCCAGAACCCUGACUGGGCUGCACCACCAUGCAUAGUAUGACAUCAGUGAAACAUCAGCCAAAGACCCCCUCCAGAACCCUGACUGGGCUGCACCACCAUGCAUAGUAUGACAUCAGUGAAACAUCAGCCAAAGACAAAACAUUGCCUAAAUGUAUCUUGUCUUAAUAAUGUAUAAGAUUAAUAAAUAUAUAAACAGAUGAAUGAAACCACAAUAAUUUACCAGGUGGAUGGUAUAAUGUUUCAUAUUUUCCAUUUAUUUUGCUUCUAAAGAGGUGGAAUCAUGACAUGUAGUAUUUUAGUUGAUGGCACUGUAAAUGCAUUAUGGAUUCGUCCCUUAAAUUAGCACUGCUUCUAUUUGUAAUCAUACAUCUGCAGUAAGUGCCAUCCUAUCUGACUCAGAUCAUUAAAGACAAAGUUGACACACUG